UGUCAUAUUUCACUCCAAAACACUAACUAAGCUUCUUUUUGCUUCUCAAAACUUUGAUGGUGACACCAAAGUCCGUAUGAGUCUUUGGCUUUCUAUCUU
rnacentral:sRNA from 1 species